rnacentral:rRNA from 1 species
CCUACGGGUGGCAGCAGUGAGGAAUAUUGGUCAAUGGACGAGAGUCUGAACCAGCCAAGUAGCGUGAAGGAUGACGGCCCUAUGGGUUGUAAACUUCUUUUAUAGGGGAAUAAAAUGUUCCACGUGUGGGAUUUUGUAUGUACCAUAUGAAUAAGGAUCGGCUAACUCCGUGCCAGCAGCCGCGGUAAUACGGAGGAUCCGAGCGUUAUCCGGAUUUAUUGGGUUUAAAGGGAGCGUAGGUGGAUUGUUAAGUCAGUGGGGAAAGUUGGCGGCUCAACCGUAAAAUUGCAGUUGAAACUGGCAGUCUUGAGUACAGUAGAGGUGGGCGGAAUUCGUGGUGUAGCGGUGAAAUGCUUAGAUAUCACGAAGAACUCCGAUUGCGAAGGCAGCUCACUGGACUGCAACUGACACUGAGGCUCGAAAGUGUGGGUAUCAAACAGGAUUAGAUACCCGAGUAGUC